ensembl:lncRNA
AUGGCACCCCGCAUCCAGCAACCACCAGCAGCUGGAACAGAAAGUUUUCGGUACAAUCAAAGUUUGACGCUUAAUCUCCCUUUGCCCCGCACCGCACUCAGUCCAGCCAGGCACAGCGACGCGCUGUCCGACCGACAGCCCGGGCCAGCGCGGAGCUCCGCCGGGCUCCCCCAGGCCCUGCCGCGGGCACAGCCGGCUCCCGCACCCGCGCUGCUCGUCCCUGCGGCCGCGGCGGCUCCGGCAUCCACCGCCCGGCAGCAAAAACCCGGAGGCGCCUACCCGGGAGAGCCAGUGGCCGGGGAAGCGUCUCCCCGGCUGGGCGAGGCCAACCGGGAGCCUCCGCUCGGGCUCGCACCGCACCCGAUGCCUCUCCGAGCGGGGCUGGGGGCGAAUCCGGCCCCCCGGCGCUCACGGCCCCGGGGCCGCUGGCAGCGCUCCGGGGCCGGCGCUUCCCAGGCAACAGUUGGCUGUGUCCCUCCGCGUCCCCCCGCCACCGCCCGCAGCCCCCGCUGUGCGAGGGGCAGGGGCACCGCGGGGAGGGUGACCCGGGGCGGGAGAGCGAGCACAAAGGCGGCUGCGGAGGUUCAAGGGGCGAGGGGAGCGGAGAAACUCCGGGGCUGCAGCGCGCCGUCCCCGCCCCGCCGCGAUGCGGGGGCGCCGAGAGAAGGAGCGGCAGAGGUGGCUCAGCCCCCACCCCGUGCAGCCCCCGGGCGGGCGGCAGCCCCCGUUUCCGCCGUGCCUCCCCGCUCUUACCUGGGCCGCCCGUCGCCGCUGGCCGCCGCAGAACACAGCGCUUCCUCAAGACGUCAAAACCAGAUCUGAGCCCAUUCACAGCUCGUGAAAAUACUUUGUACUUCCUCUUGCUGUGCGGAGGGUUAAAUGAGGUUAAAGUCGCCAGAACGGCUGUGCAGCACUCGGUUUCCCCCUUCCCCAAAAGCCAGUCUGUGCGUCAUUAACAGCAAGAAAGAAAGCAAGAAAAGAAAAACAAAACAAAAAAACCUACAAGUGACAGUAUUGGGAGUACAGUACAGAAAUAUCUUCUUAUUUGUUCAUACCAGGACUUUGCUUGCUGAGCUCUUUAAUUGUGAGAAGCUGUGAUGCUGACCACAAAGCUAUCACAGCUCUAUGCUUGUGAGCCUGAGAGUUCACAACUGCCUCCUGCCUCGGGCAAAUGUGUUGAGGAGAGCUCUGUGCUCCGAGAGGUGUGAUUCUCAUGAAUGAGGCAAGUUUUGGAGCGCUGUGAGAAGUGGAGUGGUUUGGUGGAGCUAUGAGGAUGUAGGGCCUGUUGCUGACUUGAGCCUCUGGCCUGUCACUCCCUCUGAUCAAGUACCCCAGAGCAGCAUCACUUCCAUGAUUUAACUGCUUCCCUUUACCCAGGCUGGAUCCAGAUGUCCUUGAAUUGUUCUUUUUUUGGUCUGAAAAUUCCAAAUUGUCUAGCAAAUAAUUCAAGUGACAUACUUAGUCUAUUAAAAGGCUGUGUGUCUGUUGCUGUAGCACAUAUUUAGUAUAGCUACCCUUUCAGCACCCAGCUUAGUAGAACACUGAGCUGCUGGCUUGCAUUUUUUACCCACGAGUCUCAAAGUACUUUUUAAAAGAAGUAAAUAGCAUUGCUCCACUUUCAAGCGGGAAGAACAGUCACAUGGAAAACUUGAACCAGGAGAAAGAACUGAACCUCAGAUUCCCAGCUAGCAACGUAAUGUCCCCUUUUAAUUAUUUUUCUGGGGCAUGCAUUCUGACUGCUUUAUAAUGGUCGUGUCUUUAACUGGAUAGUUUUACAAAAGAAGAGGCAGCUAUCACCCAUCUUUUGGAAAUAUUCUGACUCUAUGACCGCAUGCUAUGUAUGCUCUUAAGUUGUCUGCACUGAAUGCAUCAAGGACUUAGCCACAAGAAUAUUUUUAUUCUGCAUACAGAUAAUAUUUAGGAGUUAGAAAAAUCCAACUUUUAAAUCCUGCCAAAACAAAGGGACUGCUAGAUAUUGAUGAAAUGAACUGUAGAACAUCUACAUGUAGUGUAACAUACUACCAUAAGAGUGAAGUUGAUCAGCCUGUAGGGGAAAUGGCAGGCGAGUGAUAGAUUUCAGAUUCUCAGCUUUGGACGAUGACGUUGGAGACCAGAAAACAAUUGUUUAACUGGCUACUGGCAUAUUAGCCAAGCCACAACUGUAUGUGUGAAACUGUUAUCUUAGUGCUUGUGUGAGACAAAUUCAGUUUGUACACAAAGGGAUCAGAUUCCUCAAUAAAGUAAUUUCUUA